GUCUCGUCUCCGUCUCCGUCUCCGUCUCCGUCUCCGUCCCCGUCCAAACCUUACCUAGCUGCAGCGACUGCCGACAAUCUGAUGGCGGCGAGCGGAGCUGCAGCGAGAACUGCGGGAGAGGCGGCGAGAGCUGCGGGAGGGGCGGGAGAGGCGGCGAGAGCUGUCGGAGGCGAUGGAUCUCACCUAGCCGCUCCACGCUAGAUCGAUGCCGUUCUUGCAGUCUGACCAGCGCCGCCGCCUCCUGCCGUUUUGGUACUCCAGUUUACAUCCUCCUGCAACCGUAAGGCCUGACUUGUGUUUCUGGAAGAUCACAUGCAGGCUCUCUGCUUGUUCUUUGAACUCCGGCCCCUGUUUUGAAUGUUUCAUUUUUCAAAAGCCUCCGCGGCCACCGCUACCGUCUAGUGUGGCACCUAGCGCUGCAGUUUCUAUCACUGAUGGCACCUGAGAUGUUUGCUCCCUUCGGAUGGUGGUCUAAAGACUGUUUGUUGUUGAUUGGUGCAACCUGUUGUAACAUUUUGUAGCGUCAUGGUUGAUCAAAAUUUGCAACGUUGCCAUGUUCUAUUAUUGGCGAUGGGAAUUGUAACAGCAUGGGUUCCUUUUGCAGGAGUCUUACUUUAUUUAGCCUUAGCACAAACAUCUGUAUCCUAGAUUUUGGACUACCAAUGUCACUGCUGUAUUGGACCUGUGGCGAAGGGACCGUCAAAACUCAAAUAAGCUUUACAUAUUACAAUGUCACUGCCGUGUGGCCAAUGAUAUAAAAAUUAUAUCUUUGCUGCUGCAUGUUCA